rnacentral:rRNA from 1 species
CCUACGGGAGGCAGCAGUGGGGAAUAUUGGGCAAUGGGCGCAAGCCUGACCCAGCAACGCCGCGUGAAGGAAGAAGGCUUUCGGGUUGUAAACUUCUUUUGUCAGGGACGAAGCAAGUGACGGUACCUGACGAAUAAGCCACGGCUAACUACGUGCCAGCAGCCGCGGUAAUACGUAGGUGGCAAGCGUUAUCCGGAUUUACUGGGUGUAAAGGGCGUGUAGGCGGGACUGCAAGUCAGAUGUGAAAGCCACGGGCUCAACCUGUUGACUGCAGUUGAAACUGGAGUUCUUGAGUACAGGAGAGGGAGACGGAAUUCCUAGUGUAGCGGUGAAAUGCGUAGAGAUUAGGAGGAACACCAGUGGCGAAGGCGGAUUGCUGGACAGUAACUGACGCUGAGGCGCGAAAGCGUGGGGAGCAAACAGGAUUAGAUACCCGGGUAGUC